rnacentral:ribozyme from 1 species
UUUUUUUUUUUUUUUUUUUUUUUUUUUUUUUUUUCAU